CUCCGCUAGCGCUUAGCCCCUCAUCGAUUAACCCUUACAUAAUGCUAUUCAUGACAGCAUUGAUAUGAUACUCUAUUCUAUUGCCUCUGUUACUUGACACACAGGGUAAACGUAACCAUGGAGGAACCAGGUGCUGAUAUAGAGGUGACUGUCAAAACUUUGGACUCCCAGAGCCGAAGUUACACUAUAGGCGGAAAGUUGACAGUGAAAUAGUUCAAGGAGCACAUUGCCACUUCAGUUGGGAUUCCUGUGGACAAACACAGACUGAUCUACCAGGGCCGAGUCCUGCAGGAUGAGAGGACCCUGACAGAGUACUUAUCUUGGCAAAUGGUACUUCGUUGCAGCGGCUGGUGUGAAGGAGUCGGAUGUGCAGAUGUUCAGACAGAUGGACAGCACUGUGUUUCACCUGAAUGAGACCUCUGAAAAGACACUACUGUGGCUCUGCACUUUAUACAGAGCCUAAACAACUAAAAAUGUGCCGCUGUCCCAAUACUUUUGGAGCUCACUGUAUGUGUGAACAAAACUUGAGCAAAACUAUGUUAGCCCAUUGAAUAAUGAAUUCCCUGUUGGUUUGACACAGGCAGGCCUGAGCGGCAAACUCUAGUGGGGAGUGGAGAGUGGCUGAACUGCAACCAGUGUAUCCUGCUGCAGGAGAUAGAGCGUCACUUGGAUCCACUAGAGACAAACGACACCCUCAGCAGAUUCAUGCUUUACGGUCAGAAAAGGAGUCAUCAAUGAUUCCAUACUGUGAUGGAAUACCAGGAAUUGAAGCAAAGCUGAGAAAAUCUAACUCGUGACAGUGCCUUAUUGGAUAAUAAAGUGGUGUAGGCGUUUCGGACCCAAACGGCUUGUAAAAAUAUGGAUAGAUUUGUACAUCUCCCUCAAGAGAAAGAUGCAUAUAUGUGUGUGUAUGUUUCAGAGCUUUGUAAAUUGAACUGAGGCUGCCUGCUAUUUGUUGGAGUCUUCAAUCAAGAUCAUGCUAUGCAUCGAAAUAGGUUUCCUUUUGAGAGUUUAUUAUUAGUGUAUUGCCCACUCUAACUUUGAUCUAACUCAGAAUUGUGGAACUAAUUCAAAUUAAGAACUCUCCUCUCAUUUCCCAUGUGUAAUAGUAAAACAAAUAAACAGAAAAAA